rnacentral:rRNA from 1 species
AUUGAACGCUGGCGGCAUGCUUUACACAUGCAAGUCGAACGGCAGCGGGGAGGAGCUUGCUUCUCUGCCGGCGAGUGGCGAACGGGUGAGUAAUACAUCGGAACGUGUCGAGAAGAGGGGGAUAACCACCCGAAAGGGUGGCUAAUACCGCAUAAAUUCUGAGGAAGAAAGCUGGGGACCUAGGAAUAGGCCUAGCGCUUUUUGAGCGGCCGAUGUCGGAUUAGCUAGUUGGUGAGGUAAAGGCUCACCAAGGCGAAGAUGUGUAGCGGGUCUGAGAGGAUGAUCCGCCACACUGGAACUGAGACACGGCCCAGACUCCUACGGGAGGCAGCAGUGGGGAAUUUUGGACAAUGGGGGCAACCCUGAUCCAGCCAUGCCGCGUGUAUGAAGAAGGCCUUAGGGUUGUAAAGUACUUUUGUUAGGGAAGAAAAGUCAGCUGUGAAUAAUGGCUGAUACUGACGGUACCUAAAGAAUAAGCACCGGCUAACUACGUG